rnacentral:rRNA from 1 species
CAGCAGUGGGGAAUCUUGCGCAAUGGGGGAAACCCUGACGCAGCGACGCCGCGUGCGGGAUGAAGGCCUUCGGGUUGUAAACCGCUUUCAGCAGGGACGAGGCCGCAAGGUGACGGUACCUGCAGAAGAAGCUCCGGCUAAAUACGUGCCAGCAGCCGCGGUAAUACGUAUGGAGCAAGCGUUAUCCGGAUUCAUUGGGCGUAAAGCGCUCGUAGGCGGUCUGUUAGGUCGGUAAGUUAAAUCCGGGGGCUCAACCCCCGUCCGCUUCCGAUACCGGCAGACUUGAGUUUGGUAGGGGAAGGUGGAAUUCCUAGUGUAGCGGUGGAAUGCGCAGAUAUUAGGAAGAACACCGGUGGCGAAGGCGGCCUUCUGGGCCAUAACUGACGCUGAGGAGCGAAAGCUAGGGGAGCGAACAGGAUUAGA